rnacentral:lncRNA from 1 species
UUUUUUUUUUUUUUUAAGCAUAUUCAUAUUGAGGGGAAUGGCUUCAAAAGAAGCUUCUUGCUUUGAAUUUGGCAGUGGUACAAGUUACUUUAAAAACACUGCAUUUUACUGUCAAAAAGUCACUGUGUUAUUUUGAGGUUGGGAUGGAUUAGAAAUUAUACUAUAUUUUAUUGCUUGCUUAGGUGCCGAACCUCAUUCCACUGCCAUGGUAUAAUGUCAAAUAUGCUGGACUGAAAAACAGUAUGUUGUCCACUUUCUUCUCGUGUAUGUUUAUCAUAUGAACUCAGAAAGAAUAGAAACCUCAUAAACAAAAUUCUAGAAAAGAAAUCUGCUCAGAGAGCUCCCAAAGAAUUAGAUUUCCCUGUCUAUUCUGCACAGGGGAGCACAUUUUCCUUAACCAGUAACCUGUAGAGCCUCUAGAAGAAAGCGAUCUACAGAACAAAAGAGACAUUGGAUUGUCCUCUCAAAGGGGAAGAGAAAUUUUCUUGUAGCUUGAUUCAUACAGAAAAAAGAAGUGAUGAUAAAAACAGUGUGAUUCAUCAACUCAUUCAGUGAAGAAAGAGGAAGGCAGUCCAAGAAUGAAUUUCUCCUUUUCUUAGCACCCAAGAAAACGUAGGUCUAAGAUACUACUGGGGCCCUUUGAUUCGAAUCCCGUGGCGGAGUGGAAAGACCAGAGACUUUGGAAUCAGAUUCACUUCAGGCUCAGGCUUUUCCUUAGUUAGCAUUCGCCAAGGGGUGCUAGUCUUGGUUGGGGUUUCCCCAGAAGCAGACUCCAAGACAAGAGUUCAAAAGCAAGUACUAGCGUAUCUAGAAAGUGCAGAAAAUCGAGGGGGAAGUGGGCGGGGAGGCAGGAGAGGCACAGUCCACACAGAAGCCCUUGCAAGCCAGCGCAGCCAGCGCAGCCAGCCCAGCCCCGGCCACCGGGCAGCUCCCACCACGCGGCGCAGAGGCAGCGAGAGGAGAGGCCACGCCAGAGCCCGACGGUUCUCAGCUUAAGUCGGGCACGUGGGGAGGGUUGCUCCGAGCGUCCUUAAACAGGCAGCAAAGGGGAGGCAAAAUAGAGUCCUUAACCCAACAGACGAGGAUGCUGACAGUUGAGGAUGCUGACAGUUGAGGAUGCUGACAGUUGGAGGUCAAGCCAACAUGCCCUGACGUGAAAGGUGAGGGAAUGGGACGUGGCGGUGCUGGUCGCUGCAGGUGGUAGAAGCAGCAGCAGAGAACACAGGCCCUUUGGGCGCAGAGACCUUGUUUGCUGUCGUUUCCUCCAUGCUGUCAUAUUUUAGGCAUUUGAUAAAUAAUGUGUGGACCGAACAUGCCAGUGAACACAUGAAACAGCUUUAAAUCCAGGCUCUAUCAUUUAGGAAAAAUCUUUUUUCAAUCUCUUUUUUCAUUUCAUCAAAUUUCAUUCUACAAAACCAUAAAUAAAAGAACUUAACAUAGUAUCUAUCCAACCCACAGUAGAACUGAGUGAAUAUAAAUAUUGUUACUAUGUGUCCAUUUCCUGCUUUCUACCUGCAGUCCUCCCCUCUUUAUUUUGCCUUCCCUUAUCAAGAGGAAAGCUGACUGCAGUACCCUACAGUGCCUGGGUCCAGAAAUGGGCACUACACCCUGGCACACUGUAAGGGCCCACACCACAGUUUCUUCUUCUUUUUUUUUUUAAAGAUUUUAUUUAUUAUUCAUGAGAGAUACAAAGAGAGAGAGAGGCAGAAAGAGGCAGGCAGGCAGAGGGAGAAGCAGGCUCCCUGCGGGGAGCCUGAUGCGGGACUAGAUCCAGGACCCUGAAUCAC